AGAGUUUGAUCAUGGCUCAGAUUGAACGCUGGCGGCGUGCCUAACACAUGCAAGUCGAGCGGUAACAGGUGUAGCAAUACAUGCUGACGAGCGGCGAACGGGUGAGUAAUGCUUCGGAAUCUACCCAAUGGUGGGGAAUAACCAGCCGAAAGGUUGGCUAAUACCGCAUACGUCCUACGGGAGAAAGCAGGGGAUCGUAAGACCUUGCGCCAAUGGAUGAGCCGAAGUCGGAUUAGCUAGUUGGUAGGGUAACGGCCUACCAAGGCGACGAUCCGUAGCUGGUCUGAGAGGACGACCAGCCACACUGGGACUGAGACACGGCCCAGACUCCUACGGGAGGCAGCAGUGGGGAAUAUUGGACAAUGGGGGAAACCCUGAUCCAGCGACGCCGCGUGUGUGAAGAAGGCCUGCGGGUUGUAAAGCACUUUUAGUGGGGAUGAAAAGUUCAGGGCUAAUACCUCUGGAUCUUGACCUAACCCACAGAAAAAGCACCGGCUAACUCUGUGCCAGCAGCCGCGGUAAUACAGAGGGUGCAAGCGUUAAUCGGAAUUACUGGGCGUAAAGCGUGCGUAGACGGUUACAUAAGUCGGGUGUGAAAGCCCCGGGCUCAACCUGGGAAUUGCAUUCGAGACUGCGUAGCUAGGGUGCGGAAGAGGGAAGCGGAAUUUCCGGUGUAGCGGUGAAAUGCGUAGAUAUCGGAAGGAACACCAGUGGCGAAAGCGGCUUCCUGGUCCAGCACCGACGUUCAGGCACGAAAGCGUGGGGAGCAAACAGGAUUAGAUACCCUAGUAGUCC
rnacentral:rRNA from 1 species